AGAGUUUGAUCCCAGCUCAGGAUGAACGCUAGCGGUGCGCCUAACACAUGUAAGUCGUGCGAUCGAGCCGAACUGAGUCCCUUCGGGGAUGAUGAUUGGUGACGGAGCGGCGGACGGGUGAGUAACGCGUGGCUAACCUACCCUCUUGACGGGGACAACCACCCGAAAGGGCGGCUAAUACCCGAUAUUGUCUGGAACCGAUGGGUUCCUUUCCAAAGGCGGUCAUGCCGCCGCAAGGGGAUGGGGCUGCGUCCUAUUAGCUAGUUGGUGAGGUAACGGCCCACCAAGGCUUCGAUGGGUAGCUGGUCUGAGAGGACGACCAGCCACAUUGGGACUGAGAUACGGCCCAGACUCCUACGGGAGGCAGCAGUGGGGAAUCUUGGCCAAUGGACGAAAGUCUGAGCCAGCGACACCGCGUGGGGGAUGAAGGCCUUCGGGUUGUAAACCUCUUUUCUGGGGAAAGAAUAAGGACGGGAGGAAAUGCCCGCCCGAUGACGGUACUCCAGGAAUAAGCAUCGGCUAACUCUGUGCCAGCAGCCGCGGUAAGACAGAGGAUGCAAGCGUUAUCCGGAAUUACUGGGCGUAAAGGGCGUCUAGGCGGUUCGGUAAGUCGUUUGUGAAAUCCCUCGGCUCAACCGAGGAAGGUCUUGCGAUACUGCCGGGCUUGGGUGCAGGAGAGGAGGGUGGAACUCACAGAGUAGCGGUGGAAUGCGUAGAUACUGUGAGGUACCCCGAUGGCGAAGGCAACCCUCUGGCCUGCUACCGACGCUGAAGCGCGAAAGCGUGGGGAGCAAAGGGGAUUAGAUACCCCCGUAGUCCACGCCCUAAACAAUGUUCACUUGGUGUCGGCCGCUCAUACUGGUCGGUGCCGAAGCUAACGCGUUAAGUGAACCGCCUGAGGAGUACGGCCGCAAGGCUAAAACUCAAGAGAAUUGACGGGUCCCUGCACAAGCGGUGGAGCACGUGGUUUAAUUCGAUAUAAACGAAAAACCUCACCCAGGCUUGACAUACUAGUGGUAGGAACCUGAAAGGGGGACGACUCUGCCUUCGGGUAGAGAGCUAGUACAGGUGAUGCAUGGCUGUCGUCAGCUCGUGUCGUGGGAUGUUGGGUUCAGUCCCGAAACGAGCGCAACCCUUGUCGUUAGUUGCCAGCGGGUAAUGCCGGGGACUCUAACGAGACUGCUGGUGAAUAGCCGGAGGAAGGCGGGGAUGACGUCAAGUCAUCAUGUCCCUUAUGCCUGGGGCGACACACAUGCUACAAUGGGGGGUACAGAGGGUCGCAAUCCCGUAAGGGGGAGCCAAUCCAUAAAAACCCCUCCCAGUUCGGAUUGAGGUCUGCAACUCGACCUCAUGAAGUCGGAAUCGCUAGUAAUCGCGGGUCAGCCAUACCGCGGUGAAUAUGUACUCAGGGAUUGUACACACCGCCCGUCACACCAACCGAGUGGGGGGUACCUGAAGUCGCUCUUCUGAGGGCGCCUAGGGUAACUUCCGCAAGAGGGGUGAAGUCGUAACAAGGUA
rnacentral:rRNA from 1 species